rnacentral:rRNA from 1 species
CCUACGGGAGGCUGCAGUGGGGAAUAUUGGACAAUGGGGGCAACCCUGAUCCAGCCAUGCCGCGUGUGUGAAGAAGGCCCUCGGGUUGUAAAGCACUUUCAGUGAGGAAGAACGCCUGGUGGUUAAUACCCAUCAGGAAAGACAUCACUCACAGAAGAAGCACCGGCUAACUCCGUGCCAGCAGCCGCGGUAAUACGGAGGGUGCGAGCGUUAAUCGGAAUUACUGGGCGUAAAGCGCGCGUAGGUGGCUUGAUAAGCCGGUUGUGAAAGCCCCGGGCUCAACCUGGGAACGGCAUCCGGAACUGUCAAGCUAGAGUGCAGGGGAGGAAGGUAGAAUUCCCGGUGUAGCGGUGAAAUGCGUAGAGAUCGGGAGGAAUACCAGUGGCGAAGGCGGCCUUCUGGACUGACACUGACACUGAGGUGCGAAAGCGUGGGUAGCAAACAGGAUUAGAUACCCUGGUAGUC